UACAGAGGUCUCAAGCGUUGUUCGGAAUUACUGGGCGUAAAGGGCGCGCAGGCCGCGCGGGCAGUCAAAUGUGUAAUUCAGGGGCUCAACCCCUGCACUGCGCUUGAUACUUCCGCGCUCGAGCUUUGGAGAGGAGUCUGGAAUUCUCGGUGUAGCAGUGAAAUGCGUGGAUAUCGAGAAGAACACUUAGGGCGUAGGCAAGACUCUGGACAAAUGCUGACGCUCAUGCACGAAGGCUAGGGUAGCGAACGGG
rnacentral:rRNA from 1 species